GACGAACGCUGGCGGCGUGCCUAAUACAUGCAAGUCGAACGCAGUGGGGACGGGUGAGUAACACGUGGGUAACCUCCCAUCAGAGGGGAUAACACUUGGAAACAGGUGCUAAACCUAUACUGAUGGAUGGACCCGCGGUGAAUUAGCUAGUUGGUGAGGUAACGGCUCACCAAGGCCACGAUGAAUAACCGACCUGUGGGGGUGAUCGGCAACACUGGGACUGAGAAACGGCCCAGAGUCGUACGGGAGGCAGCAGUGGGGAAGUUUCGGAAAUGGACGAAAGUCUGAGCGAGCAACGCCGCGUGAGUGAAAAAGGUUUUCGGAUCGUAAAACUCUGUUGUUAGAGAAGCGGUAUCUAACAAGAAAGCCACGGCUAACUACGUGCCAGCCGCCGCGGUAAUA
rnacentral:rRNA from 1 species